UACAGAGGGUGCGAGCGUUAAUCGGAAUUACUGGGCGUAAAGGGCUCGUAGGUGGCCAACUAAGUCAGACGUGAAAUCCCUCGGCUUAACCGGGGAACUGCGUCUGAUACUGGAUGGCUUGAGUUCGGGAGAGGGAUGCGGAAUUCCAGGUGUAGCGGUGAAAUGCGUAGAUAUCUGGAGGAACACCGGUGGCGAAGGCGGCAUCCUGGACCGGCACUGACACUGAGGAGCGAAAGCCAGGGGAGCAAACGGG
rnacentral:rRNA from 1 species